rnacentral:misc_RNA from 1 species
GAUGAAGAACGUAGCGAAAUGCGAUAAGUAGUGUGAAUUGCAGAAUUCAGUGAAUCAUCGAAUCUUUGAACGCACAUUGCGCCUCCUGGCAUUCCGGGAGGCAUGCCUGUUCGAGCGUCAUCAAACCCCAUCGUGCAAAUGAAUUAUUUUUUUUGCGCGGAAGUGACGAUUGAGCGAGAAUAACAAAUCCUCUCGCACCUCGUCGAAAUGAUUGCGGGCGGAAUUUGGGAUCGGGUUCCUCGGCGUAGUGUAUCAAUGCAUAUUUAUGCAACUUGCCGCGGAGUUGAGCCUGACCCACGCGUUCUCGCCGUACAAACACCUCAUUACUUUACAAGUUUUUGACCUCGGAUCAGGUAGGGAUACCCACUGAACUUAAGCAUAUCAAUAAGCGGAGGA